GACGAACGCUGGCGGCGUGCCUAGUACAUGCAAGUUGAGCGCUGAAGGUUGGUACUUGUACCAACUGGAUGAGCAGCGAACGGGUGAGUAACGCGUGGGGAAUCUGCCUUUGAGCAGGGGACAACAUUUGGAAACGAAUGCUAAUACCGCAUAAAAACUUUAAACACAAGUUUUAAGUUUGAAAGAUGCAAUUGCAUCACUCAAAGAUGAUCCCGCGUUGUAUUAGCUAGUUGGUGAGGUAAAGGCUCACCAAGGCGAUGAUACAUAGCCGACCUGAGAGGGUGAUCGGCCACAUUGGGACUGAGACACGGCCCAAACUCCUACGGGAGGCAGCAGUAGGGAAUCUUCGGCAAUGGACGAAAGUCUGACCGAGCAACGCCGCGUGAGUGAAGAAGGUUGUCGGAUCGUAAAACUCUGUUGGUAGAGAAGAACGUUGGUGAGAGUGGAAAGCUCACCAAGUGACGGUAACUACCCAGAAAGGGACGGCUAACUACGUG
rnacentral:rRNA from 1 species